rnacentral:rRNA from 1 species
UACGGAGGGUGCAAGCGCUAUCCGGAUUCACUGGGUUUAAAGGGUGCGUAGGUGGGUUGGUAAGUCAGUGGUGAAAUCCCCGAGCUUAACUUGGGAACUGCCAUUGAUACUAUCAGUCUUGAAUACCGUGGAGGUCAGCGGAAUAUGUCAUGUAGCGGUGAAAUGCUUAGAUAUGACAUAGAACACCAAUUGCGAAGGCAGCUGGCUACACGAAUAUUGACACUCAGGCACGAAAGCGUGGGGAUCAAACAGG